rnacentral:misc_RNA from 1 species
AUGGAAAGGAAGGAAUACCACAGUAAGUUUAUAUAGCUUAACACAGGCUUGAAAAUUUUCUUUCUCAAUAAAUUUGCUUUCCAUUACUAAAUUCCUUAAAUUCCUUUGGAGAGUUUUUGGAACACAAUAAUUAAAAGAAAGUACUCUAGUUCAUGGAAACCUUCUUGCAUUUGGUAGAUAGUAAAUCCAUUUGGUUAUAUUGGUGAAUCUUUGCAUUGAAUUGAUCAUGGGGAAUCUUUGUCUUGAUUUGAUCAAACAAGAAAGAGUACAAACUUUUUGUUGUGCGAAAACCAUAUGUAAGCAUUUCAAGGGUUCUAUCGUUGUAUGACAAUGUUCAUCAAGAAGGAAAUUAGAUUAGCAGUCAUUGCAUUAUUGAUAACAGGUUUAUCCUAAAAGAUUUAUCUGAGUGUAUCCUUUGUUUGAUUAUUGUUCUAAGUUUUAUCUGUUAAGCACCCUUCCCUGGCAAUUACAACUUAAUGUUUUCAUGGUGCUUGAUGGGACGUGAAAUCAGUUAGUUUAUUUAUAUUCCUUAGUCUUGUCUAUUCCAAAAGAAAACAAGAGAAUACCUUCUAUUUGCCAGGGAUUCCAUGUUAGAUCCUGG